rnacentral:rRNA from 1 species
ACGAACGCUGGCGGCGUGCUUAACACAUGCAAGUCGAACGAUGAAGAAAAGAAUCGAAGCUUCGGCAGAAAUUCAUUUCGGAUUAGUGGCAGACGGGUGAGUAACGCGUGAGCAACCUACCUCUUACAAAGGGAUAGCCUCGGGAAACCGGGAUUAAUACCAUAUAACAUUGCGACGAAGCAUUUCGAUGCAAUCAAAGCUACGGCGGUAAGAGAUGGGCUCGCGUCCCAUUAACCGGAUGGUGAGGUAACGGCUCACCAUAGUGACGAUGGGUAACCGGCCUGAGAGGGUGAACGGUCACACUGGAACUGAGACACGGUCCAGACUCCUACGGGAGGCAGCAGUGGGGAAUAUUGCACAAUGGAGGGAACUCUGAUGCAGCGACGCCGCGUGAGUGAUGAAGGAAUUCGUUUCGUAAAACUCUGUUCUAUGGGAAGAAAAGGACUGUACCAUAGGAGAAAGCUCCGGCUAAAUACGUG